rnacentral:misc_RNA from 1 species
GAUGAAGAACGUAGCGAAAUGCGAUACGUAGUGUGAAUUGCAGAAUUCAGUGAAUCAUCGAAUCUUUGAACGCACAUUGCACCUCUCGGUAUUCCGGGAGGUAUGCCUGUUCGAGCAUCAUUUGUACCCUCAAGCUCUGCUUGGUGUUGGGUGUUUGUUCCGCCUCUGUGUGUGAACUCGCCUCAAAACAAUUGGCAGCCGGCGUACUUGUUUCGGAGCGCAGCACAUUUUGCGAUCCAGAUCAACGUACAGCGGCAUCCAAGAAGCCUUAUUUAACGCUCUUGACCUCGGAUCAGGUAGGGAUACCCGCUGAACUUAAGCAUAUCAAUAAGCGGAGGA